ACUCACGCUGACUGACCUCAUCUAG
rnacentral:misc_RNA from 1 species